CAGGAAUGAGCCCAUAAGACGAGAAGACCCUGUGGAACUUAAAAAUCAGCGGCCACCCCACCUAGAACCCGGCCCUACUAGGCACACUAUCACCCCAAAGACAUUGGCCCGCAUUUUUUGGUUGGGGCGACCUUGGAGAAAAAUGAACCCUCCAAAGAUAAGACCACACUUCUUGACCAAGAGCAACUCCUCAACGUACUAACAGUAACCCGACCCAAUAUAAUUGACCAAUGGACCAAGCUACCCCAGGGAUAACAGCGCAAUCUCCUUCAAGAGCCCAUAUCGACAAGGAGGUUUACGACCUCGAUGUUGGAUCAGGACAUCCUAAUGGUGCAGCCGCUAUUAAGGGUUCGUUUGUUCAACGAUUAACAGUCCUACGUGAUCUGAGUUCAGACCGGAGCAAUCCAGGUCGGUUUCUAUCUAUGACGAACUUUCCCUAGUACGAAAGGACCGGAAAAGUGGGGCCAAUACUAUAAGCACGCCCUUAUCCCAAAGUAAUGAACCCAACUAAAUUACCAAGGGAGCACCCAUAUUACCCCGUCCUAGAAAAGGACCGCUAGCGUGGCAGAGCUUGGUAAA
rnacentral:ncRNA from 1 species